rnacentral:rRNA from 1 species
AUAAUGGGUCAGCGACUUAUAUUCUGUAGCAAGGUUAACCGAAUAGGGGAGCCGAAGGGAAACCGAGUCUUAACUGGGCGUUAAGUUGCAGGGUAUAGACCCGAAACCCGGUGAUCUAGCCAUGGGCAGGUUGAAGGUUGGGUAACACUAACUGGAGGACCGAACCGACUAAUGUUGAAAAAUUAGCGGAUGACUUGUGGCUGGGGGUGAAAGGCCAAUCAAACCGGGAGAUAGCUGGUUCUCCCCGAAAGCUAUUUAGGUAGCGCCUCGUGAAUUCAUCUCCGGGGGUAGAGCACUGUUUCGGCAAGGGGGUCAUCCCGACUUACCAACCCGAUGCAAACUGCGAAUACCGGAGAAUGUUAUCACGGGAGACACACGGCGGGUGCUAACGUCCGUCGUGAAGAGGGAAACAACCCAGACCGCCAGCUAAGGUCCCAAAGUCAUGGUUAAGUGGGAAACGAUGUGGGAAGGCCCAGACAGCCAGGAUGUUGGCUUAGAAGCAGCCAUCAUUUAAAGAAAGCGUAAUAGCUCACUGGUCGAGUCGGCCUGCGCGGAAGAUGUAACGGGGCUAAACCAUGCACCGAAGCUGCGGCAGCGACACUAUGUGUUGUUGGGUAGGGGAGCGUUCUGUAAGCCUGUGAAGGUGUACUGUGAGGUAUGCUGGAGGUAUCAGAAGUGCGAAUGCUGACAUAAGUAACGAUAAAGCGGGUGAAAAGCCCGCUCGCCGGAAGACCAAGGGUUCCUGUCCAACGUUAAUCGGGGCAGGGUGAGUCGACCCCUAAGGCGAGGCCGAAAGGCGUAGUCGAUGGGAAACAGGUUAAUAUUCCUGUACUUGGUGUUACUGCGAAGGGGGGACGGAGAAGGCUAUGUUGGCCGGGCGACGGUUGUCCCGGUUUAAGCGUGUAGGCUGGUUUUCCAGGCAAAUCCGGAAAAUCAAGGCUGAGGCGUGAUGACGAGGCACUACGGUGCUGAAGCAACAAAUGCCCUGCUUCCAGGAAAAGCCUCUAAGCAUCAGGUAACAUCAAAUCGUACCCCAAACCGACACAGGUGGUCAGGUAGAGAAUACCAAGGCGCUUGAGAGAACUCGGGUGAAGGAACUAGGCAAAAUGGUGCCGUAACUUCGGGAGAAGGCACGCUGAUAUGUAGGUGAAGUCCCUCGCGGAUGGAGCUGAAAUCAGUCGAAGAUACCAGCUGGCUGCAACUGUUUAUUAAAAACACAGCACUGUGCAAACACGAAAGUGGACGUAUACGGUGUGACGCCUGCCCGGUGCCGGAAGGUUAAUUGAUGGGGUCAGCGCAAGCGAAGCUCUUGAUCGAAGCCCCGGUAAACGGCGGCCGUAACUAUAACGGUCCUAAGGUAGCGAAAUUCCUUGUCGGGUAAGUUCCGACCUGCACGAAUGGCGUAAUGAUGGCCAGGCUGUCUCCACCCGAGACUCAGUGAAAUUGAACUCGCUGUGAAGAUGCAGUGUACCCGCGGCAAGACGGAAAGACCCCGUGAACCUUUACUAUAGCUUGACACUGAACAUUGAGCCUUGAUGUGUAGGAUAGGUGGGAGGCUUUGAAGUGUGGACGCCAGUCUGCAUGGAGCCGACCUUGAAAUACCACCCUUUAAUGUUUGAUGUUCUAACGUUGACCCGUGAUCCGGGUUGCGGACAGUGUCUGGUGGGUAGUUUGACUGGGGCGGUCUCCUCCUAAAGAGUAACGGAGGAGCACGAAGGUUGGCUAAUCCUGGUCGGACAUCAGGAGGUUAGUGCAAUGGCAUAAGCCAGCUUGACUGCGAGCGUGACGGCGCGAGCAGGUGCGAAAGCAGGUCAUAGUGAUCCGGUGGUUCUGAAUGGAAGGGCCAUCGCUCAACGGAUAAAAGGUACUCCGGGGAUAACAGGCUGAUACCGCCCAAGAGUUCAUAUCGACGGCGGUGUUUGGCACCUCGAUGUCGGCUCAUCACAUCCUGGGGCUGAAGUAGGUCCCAAGGGUAUGGCUGUUCGCCAUUUAAAGUGGUACGCGAGCUGGGUUUAGAACGUCGUGAGACAGUUCGGUCCCUAUCUGCCGUGGGCGCUGGAGAACUGAGGGGGGCUGCUCCUAGUACGAGAGGACCGGAGUGGACGCAUCACUGGUGUUCGGGUUGUCAUGCCAAUGGCACUGCCCGGUAGCUAAAUGCGGAAGAGAUAAGUGCUGAAAGCAUCUAAGCACGAAACUUGCCCCGAGAUGAGUUCUCCCUGACUCCUUGAGAGUCCUGAAGGAACGUUGAAGACGACGACGUUGAUAGGCCGGGUGUGUAAGCGCAGCGAUGCGUUGAGCUAACCGGUACUAAUGAACCGUGAGGCUUAACCUU